rnacentral:misc_RNA from 1 species
UAAAGGCCCAAGGCGCACCAAGGCACUAAGGGUCCUAAGGUCUAGGCGAAAGGCGCGGGCCUAAGUGAAGCAAGGCUCAAAAAUAAAAAUAAAAAUUCAUAAAAAAUAAAAUAAAUGAGAGAACUUAAAAUAACAUAAAAUUAAAUAUAAUAAUAAUAAUUAACAUUCAAGUAAUAAUAAAUUUACAAUUCAAAUAAAGUAAAAAUAAAUUAUUCAAUAGUCAUAGUUUAAG